rnacentral:misc_RNA from 1 species
GAUGAAGAACGCAGCGAAAUGCGGUAAGUAAUGUGAAUUGCAGAAUUCAGUGAAUCAUCGAAUCUUUGAACGCACAUUGCGCCCCCCAGUAUUCUGGCGGGCAUGCCUGUUCGAGCGUCAUUUCAACCAUCAAGCCCUGCUUGUGUUGGGGUCCUGCGGCUGCCCGCAGGCCCUGAAAACCAGUGGCGGGCUCGCUAGUCACACCGAGCGCAGUAGCACAUCUCGCUCAGGGCGUGCGGCGGGCUCCAGCCGUUAAAGCACCCACCUUUCGCAAGGUUGACCUCGGAUCAGGUAGGAAUACCCGCUGAACUUAAGCAUAUCAAUAAGCGGAGGA